ensembl:snRNA U6 U6 spliceosomal RNA
GUGAUUGCUUCGGCAGCACAUAUACUAAAAUUGGAAUGGUAAGAGAAGAUUAGCAUGGAUCCUGUGCAAGGAUGACACGCAAAUUCCUUAAGCGUACCAUAUUUUU